rnacentral:rRNA from 1 species
UACAGAGGUCUCAAGCGUUGUUCGGAUUCAUUGGGCGUAAAGGGUGCGUAGGCGGCGCGGUAAGUCGGGUGUGAAAGCCCCGGGCUCAACCUGGGAAUUGCAUUCGAGACUGCAUUGCUGGAGUACGGAAGGGGAAGGCGGAAUUCCCGGUGUAGCGGUGAAAUGCGUAGAUAUCGGGAGGAACAUCAGUGGCGAAGGCGGCCUUCUGGUCCAGUACUGACACUCAAGUGCGAAAGCGUGGGGAGCAAACAGG